AAGCACCAUUUUGUAAACACUUAAGCAACUUGAGUUUGCUUGAGUUUACGGAAUAACCUUGAUUUUACCUUGAAUAUUAAGAAAAAUAUAGUUUACAGUGCUAUGUUUUCCACAACUUAAAAUUGUGAAAAAGUGUUUAGGGAGUCCUUGUAUUUUCGGGCUUGUACGUACAAAUGCCUCUUACGAUUAGGACGGAGAAAGUUCCAUGGAUAAAAAGAAAAUUAUAUGUUAUCUGUCGUAUCACUUGAACCGAAAUUCCAUACCAUAUAACGUGUGAACGCCCCUAAUUGCUAACAGUCAUUCUGACAAUCAACUGGAUCAAUAAUGGACACUGAUAACAAAAGAAACUCUCUUCCUAAAGAUAAACAACCCUAUGGAUUCAGCAGGGAAUUACAACCUGACAAGAUUAUUGGAGCUACAGAUUCCAGUGGAGAACUUAUGUUUCUAAUGAAAUGGAAAGGCACAGAAGCAUCUGACCUGGUAACAGCCAAGGAAGCAAAUGUCCUAUGUCCACAGGUAGUCAUUCAAUUUUACGAGGAUAGGCUAACCUGGUACACAACUAAAUCACAGCAGCAGUGAAUAUGCUCAUGGUUCAAUCAUCUUGGAACAAGACAAGAUUAGCUGUUGGAGUCGAUGUGCCGUAUUGGAUGUUGAAGCUAUGAAUUUGACAAAGACUAACACUCUAGUCAGCUAAUGAACGUGAUGACCUAUACAAUUCAGCGGUUCUUCGUCUCCAGUGAUGAAUACUGAUAG